CGGAUAACACUAGGAAACAGAUGCUAAUACCGGAUAAUAACAGAUGAUGCCUAUCAACUGNUUUUUUAAAAAGAUGGUUCUGCUAUCACUCUUGGAUGGACCUGCGGUGCAUUAGCUAGUUGGUAGGGGUAACGGCCUACCAAGGCGAUGAUGCAUAGCCGAGUUGAGAGACUGAUCGGCCACAUUGGGACUGAGACACGGCCCAAACUCCUACGGGAGGCAGCAGUU
rnacentral:rRNA from 1 species